rnacentral:rRNA from 1 species
CCUACGGGAGGCAGCAGUGGGGAAUUUUGGACAAUGGGGGCAACUCUGAUCCAGCCAUUCCGCGUGAGUGAAGAAGGCCUUCGGGUUGUAAAGCUCUUUUGUUGGGGACGAAACGGUUAAGGUUAAUAAGCUUGACUAAUGACGGUACCCAAAGAAUAAGCACCGGCUAACUACGUGCCAGCAGCCGCGGUAAUACGUAGGGUGCGAGCGUUAAUCGGAAUUACUGGGCGUAAAGCGUGCGCAGGCGGUUAUGUAAGCCAGAUGUGAAAUCCCCGGGCUCAACCUGGGAAUGGCAUUUGGGACUGCAUAGCUAGAGUAUGGCAGAGGAGACUAGAAUUCCUGGUGUAGCAGUGAAAUGCGUAGAUAUCAGGAGGAAUACCGAUGGCGAAGGCAGGUCUCUGGGUCAAUACUGACGCUCAUGCACGAAAGCGUGGGGAGCAAACAGGAUUAGAUACCCUGGUAGUCCACGCCCUAAACGAUGUCAACUGGUUGUUGGGGGAUUUAUUCUCUUAGUAACGAAGCUAACGCGUGAAGUUGACCGCCUGGGGAGUACGGUCGCAAGAUUAAAACUCAAAAGAAUUGACGG